ACGAACGCUGGCGGCGGGCUUAACACAUGCAAGUCGAACGGAAAGGCCCUGCUUUUGUGGGGUGCUCGAGUGGCGAACGGGGGAGUAACACGUGAGUAACCUGCCCUUGACUUUGGGAUAACUUCAGGAAACUGGGGCUAAUACCGGAUAGGAGCUCCUGCUGCUUGGUGGGGGUUGGAAAGUUUCGGCGGUUGGGGAUGGACUCGCGGCUUAUCAGCUUGUUGGUGGGGUAGUGGCUUACCAAGGCUUUGACGGGUAGCCGGCCUGGGAGGGGGACCGGCCACAUUGGGACUGAGAUACGGCCCAGACUCCUACGGGGGGCAGCGGUGGGGAAUAUUGCACAAUGGGCGGAAGCCUGAUGCAGCAACGCCGCGUGCGGGAUGACGGCCUUCGGGUUGUAAACCGCUUUCGCCUGUGACGAAGCGUGAGUGACGGUAAUGGGUAAAGAAGCACCGGCUAACUACGUG
rnacentral:rRNA from 1 species